rnacentral:misc_RNA from 1 species
AAGCAAUAACUGUUAUUUAAAAUCUGUUAUAAUAAAAAUUAAAUUGUAUAGGCGUAGAACGCGAUUCCACUCAUACUGCCAGUUGAUAAUAUAUGAUAUACAAUUAUGUGAUAAGAACAGCUGUUCACCUAGGCGAUCGUUUUCUCACCGUUCACUCAGGUGCAAUGGUCAAAUGCAGUCAAUUCCUCAUCGUGUUUGGGGUAGCUUCUCCCGCCUUGGUCUCCGUACUGGUUAUUGUUGUUCAGACAAACAAAAAAACUAAUUUGUCACUACUUCAAGCAGGAUAGCUUGAAACGCACACAAACACAAGCAAUAAAACCUCAUAAAACACACACAACAUCGACUUACAGGAGCCUGUCUGUGCUGUCCAAUGUUCCGAUGAUGUGGAAGGUAUCAUCCCCGGUACGAUUGCUCUGAUGACUGAUCCCUUCAAGACAUUUUGGAAUACUCUGGCAGCAUUGAUAACACAUAUGAUAAACAAGUCGUCAUUCAAAGAUAUUAUGACCACCAUUGGGAACAUGUUUACUGAUAUCUAUAACGGGUUCGUGGAUAAUCUGACAAGCCUGUAUUGCACAUGGUCCGAACCCGUGGAUUUCAACAAGUAUGGAUUGCCCGUAAUUCUUAACGAGGAAGAUUUAGAGAAUUUAGAUGAUGUCUUUACAAGUAAAUAGUAUGGACGGCUAGUACAAACACGUACAUGACCCGGCUUCUGUACACGGACACGCUCUGGACACGGACAACACGAUUCUAGAUACCUCAACCUGAUUGGCUAUUUUUACGUAGGCCUACUACAAUUAAAUAAAACAAAAUUUUUCCGCUUUUAUA